rnacentral:rRNA from 1 species
GACGAACGCUGGCGGCGUGCUUAACACAUGCAAGUCGAACGGAAAGGCCCUGCUUUUGUGGGGUGCUCGAGUGGCGAACGGGUGAGUAACACGUGAGUAACCUGCCCUUGACUUUGGGAUAACUUCAGGAAACUGGGGCUAAUACCGGAUAGGAGCUCCUGCUGCAUGGUGGGGGUUGGAAAGUUUCGGCGGUUGGGGAUGGACUCGCGGCUUAUCAGCUUGUUGGUGGGGUAGUGGCUUACCAAGGCUUUGACGGGUAGCCGGCCUGAGAGGGUGACCGGCCACAUUGGGACUGAGAUACGGCCCAGACUCCAACGGGAGGCAGCAGUGGGGAAUAUUGCACAAUGGGCGGAAGCCUGAUACAGCAACGCCGCGUGCGGGAUGACGGCCUUCGGGGUGUAAACCGCUUUCGCCUGUGACGAAGCGUGAGUGACGGUAAUGGGUAAAGAAGCACCGGCUAACUACGUG